rnacentral:tRNA from 1 species
AGGAUUUUAAGUUAUAUAAACUAAAGGCCUUCAAAGCCUAAAAAAAAGAACCUCCUUUUAAAUCCUA